rnacentral:tmRNA from 1 species
GGGGUAGUUUUAGAUUCGAUUGCGUUAGGCGAAGUGAAAAAGCACGUUGAAGACGCCUGUACUUCAUUAAAAAUAGGCAAAACAAUAACUGCUAACAAUAACGAAUUAGCAUUCGCUGCUUAAUUAAGCGACGCUUUUACCACGUUACCUAUCGGCGUGGAUAAAAGUGUCAGAAUAGAUAGGGUACGGCUUUAGUUUAAGGUUUUUGGCGAAAAGUUGUAUUAAAAAAACCUGCGAUAAGGAUUUGCCCGUUUGUGGGCGUGCCUUGUUUAAGUUUAAACGCAAAAUAAACGUGUAGAAAGUCAAUUCAAGUACCGUAAGACUCGGGUGCAAGUCCCGACUACUCCACCA